GCAACAUCAAAACACCGUUUGGAGUCGGAGAGACGACAUUAAGCAGGGGGACAACCUCCAUCCAGCAGCUGAGUGGAUGAGCGGCCGGCUGGAGUAGAGGGGGCUACAGGGUGUUUCAUCUCCAGUCUGUUCACCAAAAGGUGUAAGAAGGUCAGGAUGUCAGAUGAAUGCAGACGCCGCAGAAGUUUCGUGCUUGAGGACUCUUCAGCGGGGUUGAAGUGUCUGCAGAAGUGAAUAAUGCUCAGGGGGACACUCGGUCUGGAUUCAGUCAGUGUGGCGGCGUUUCUUCUCUUACUAAAUUAAAUAUGUGUAAUUGAUGGUUUCAUAAACAGAGCUAACCUUGCCAGCAGCAAUCGGGAGCUGCCGCUGAGGAGGUCCAUGUGAAUAUGUAUUGUGUCAGAGAAGAGCCCGCAACUACCCACAACUCCUGAGGUUCUUCCCUCGCAGCGAGAGAGAGAGAGAGAGAGAGAGAGAGAGAGCGAGACGCACGCUGCUAGAUAUUGACUACAACAGCUUCUCGCCUUCGCAGGCGUAACACAUGACAUAAUGUCUCCUGCAGACAGCCUCAGCUGAAUGCAGACAGCAUUGUUCUUGGGUAAAGUCUCACUUACAGGAUGUUCUCUCCGUCUCUGUCUGUCUUUCUCAUUGUGCUUUCUUUAUCUCGCCUGUUACCACUAUGAAACCAGAGAGAUGAAAGCGGUUUGAACUAAGCAGACAGGGAGAUAAAGGCUGUUCAACAUAAAUGUCAGGUACAGUACAAUGAAGAGCGUGCAUUUACAGCAGCCUUGUGGGAAAACAAACAGUCAACGCGAACAAGAAGUAACGUGUCACUGAAGUGUUAAAGGACACUUUCAGCUGCAGCUUUUAACUUCAAGUAUAACC